rnacentral:tRNA from 1 species
GAGGGUAAAGCUCAGUGACAGUGUGUGUGUUUAGCACAUGUGAGGUCCUGGGUUCAACCCCCAGUACCUUCU